rnacentral:rRNA from 1 species
AUUGAACGCUGGCGGCAGGCCUAACACAUGCAAGUCGAGCGAGUGGCGGACGGGUGAGUAAUGUCUGGGCAACGGCCCGAGGGAGGGGGUUAACUACUGGGAGCGGUUACUAAUACCGCAUACCAUCGCCUGGGCCCAGUUGGGAUUAGCUAGGGGGUGGGGUAACGGCUCACCUAGGCGCCUAUCCCUAGCUGGUCUGAGAGGAUGACCAGCCACACUGGAACUGAGACACGGUCCAGACUCCUACGGGAGGCAGCAGUGGGGAAUAUUGGACAAUGGGCGAAAGCCUGAUGCAGCCAUGCCGCGUGUAUGAAGAAGGCCUUCGGGUUGUAAAGCACUUUAAGCGAGGAGGCGUUACUCGCAGAAGAAGCACCGGCUAACUCCGUGCCAGCAGCCGCGGUAAUAC